rnacentral:lncRNA from 1 species
CUGAAACUUCAAGUUGGGCUAUUUGACUCCGUCUUGUAUUGUCAUCACUUGUAUUCAGGUCUGUUCUUCCCCUGGAUUGUAAACUCCUUGAUGUCUGGGUCAUCUCGGCUCAUAAGCUGAGCUUUCAGUGGGUGCUCAGUGGAACAGGUGCUGAAUGGAGUCAGGCUCUAGGGAGGCCAGCGUGUGUUGGAAGGAAAAUACAUGUACAGCCAACUUCCUUGAGCGUUCGUUCUUUUGCAUCAGGGUGUCUCAAACUGCUGCCCUUAAAACACCUGUAAGAGAAUCAUCCAGGCAGCUUGCUCACUCUGCAUGCAGGCCCUUUAGAAUCAGAGUCAGAAUCCCUGGGGCUGGAGCCACAAAACUAAAUGACAUUUCAACGAGUUUGUCAUCAUGUGAGAGAGAAUAGGGUGAAGGACAUUGGUGACCAUUUGUUUCCUCUGGAGCGGUCGAUUGGUCAUGAACUUCCUGGUCCAGGCACAGAGAAGUUGCCCAUGACUCUGUGAUCCGUUUUGUCCAAUGAACCAUGAGCAGCAGCAACUUGAAUCGCCUCCAGGUGGAAGUGUUAAGAGGCUCUAUGAUCCACCACAUUCCCUUUCCCCUGAAGUGGUGAUCAAGGACACAUGCAGAGAUGGGGCUUUUGUCAGCCUGGAUCCCUGAGUGAACACAAUGAACAGACCACCACACAAUGCCCUAACACAGCCCAGACAUGCAACGUGACCAAGAAUAAGCCUCACUGUGGCCAGGCAUGGUGGCUCAUGCCUGUCGUUACAGAACUUUGGGAGGCCAAGGCAGGUGGAUCAUUUGAGGUCAGGAGUUCAAGACCAGCGUGGCUAACAUGGUGAAAUCCUGUCUCUAUUAAGUACAAAAAUUAGCCAGACAGUGGUGGCAGGGGCCUGUAAUCCCAGCUACUCAGGAGGCAGGAGAAUCACUUGAGUCUGGGAGGCAGAGGUUGCAGUGAGCUGAGAUUGCACCACUGCACUCUAGUCUGGGUGACAGAGUGAGACCCUGUCUCAAAAACAAACAAACAAAUACCUCACUGCAUGGAGCCACUGAGAUUUGGGGAUUGUUGUUACUGCACCAGAACCCAAAUCAUCCUGACCACUAGAGUGUCCUAACUAGGGUUUCUUACCAAAAGCAAAGGCAUUUUUAAACUUCGUGACAUUUAAACAAAACAGCAAAUACUAAUAUCUACCACUUUGUCAGGCUAACACACCCAAACAAAGCCAACAGCCAGAAGUUAAAAUAAACAGAUCAUUAGGUUGAAAAUAGAACUGUCAAAACAGGCACAAUUGACUUCAUUUAGUGAUUGCAAAGAACGUCAGGCAAGACACAGGUGUGGUCAUCAUAACAUUUAUCACAUGCUUAAUUGCACAUGUUUGACUAAGAAAAACACAAAGUAUUUAAGCUCAUCUGUAGUUCAAAGUGCCUAUCCGUGUAUUUAUCUAUUCAUCCUGAUUUAUUUAUUGAGCAACUCUUUUGUGCCAGGCACUGUGCUGUGUUGCGGGAAGUCAGGGACCCCAAACGGAGGGACCGGCUGAAGCCAUGACAGAAGAAUGUGGAUUAUGAAGAUUUUAUGGACAUUUAUUAGUUCCCCAAAUUAAUACUUUUGUAAUUUCCUAUGCCUUCCUUUACUGCAAUCUCUAAACAUAAAUUGUAAAGAUUUCAUGGACACUUAUCACUUCCCCAAUCAAUACCCUUGUGAUUUCCUAUGCCUGUCAUUACUUUAAUCUCUUAAUCCUGUCAGCCCAGAAGGAUGUAUAUCGUCUCAGGACCUGUAAUAAUUGCGUUAGGUACACAAAUUGUACAGCAUGUGUGUUUGAGCAAUAUGAAAUGUGGGCACCCUGAAAAAAGAACAGGAUCACAGCAAUUGUUCAGGGAAUAAGAGAGAUAACCUUAAACUCUGACCGCCGGUGAGCCGGGCAGAACAGAACCAUAUUUCUCUUCUUUCAAAAGCAAAUGGGAGAAAUAUCGCUGAAUUCCUUUUCUCAGCAUGGAACGCCCCUGAGAAAGAGAAUGCGCACCUAGGGGUAGGUCUCUGAACUGGCCCCGUGGGGCGUACCUGUCUCUUAUGGUCGAGAUUGCAGAGAUGAAAUAAACUCCAGUCUCCCAUAGCGCUCCCAGGCUUAUUAGGAAAAGAAAAUUCCCACCUAAUAAACUUUGGUCAGACCGGUUGAUCUCAAAACCCUGUCUCCUGAUAAGAUGUUAUCAAUGACAAUGGUGCCAAAACUUCAUUAGCAAUUUUAAUUUCACUUCGGUCCUGUGGUCUCGCCCUGUCUCCACUUGCCUUGAGAUAUUCUAUUAUCCUGUUAAGUACUUGAUGUCUGUCACCCACACCUAUUUGUAUACUCCCUCCCCUUUUGAAACUCCCUAAUAAAAACUUGCUGGUUUUUGUGGCUUGUGGGACAUCACGGAUCCUACCAAUGUGUGAUGUCUCUCCCGGACGCCC